GGAACCGGCCGCUCCUACGGGCUGCACCGAGUCCGACAAGCAGGGAGCACCCACGAGGACCACUUCCGAGAAGAGAAGGGUUCUGAAGAAGAGAGGGGUGGACAGAACAGAGUGGGUCAAUCUUCACCCAAAAACAGAAAUCUCACUGGAAGAGAGUACAAACUUAUCAGGACCAAUGAUGACAAAUACACAUACAAC